rnacentral:lncRNA from 1 species
GAAGCCCGGCCCUGUCCUCCUUGUCUGAAAGCUCUUUGGGACUGAAAUGGUUGUUUAUGAAUCCUUGUCAACCUCGUUCUCAGUCAACGACCAGGGAAUAAAUUAUUCGUGGAAUGACACCGUUCAUAAUUAUUAUAAGAUAAGGAAAUGGAGGUUCUGGAGGUUACAUGACUAGCCCAACAAGUAUGACAACUCCGAUAUCGGCUUGCGGUUCACUCAUUCAGUUUGCUGAUUCAGAGAUCUGUGCAUUCACUCACCUGUUCCUUCUCCAGCAAGGCCUCCCCACCCUACCACCUCCUCCUUUCUUAGUUUGGCUGUCUGUGACUCACUCAACACACAUCCCCAGACCUUUCUGGAACUCCAGGUUGGGCAGAUUGGCCUCCACAGCAACCUGUGGAUCUCUGAACACUGGGGCAAGGGCCUGGUCUCAAGCAGCUUCGUAUUCUGAGAUCAGUUUUUACUGAUUAUUGGACCAGCCAGGAUACUAACUAGUAUUUAUUCAGCACCUACUAUGUUGAGUAUAAAUAGCAUAGCAAAAGUAGGAAACACACAGUAAUACCUCAACAGAAAAAUGAGUAAACCAGCGAGUUGUCACGCCUGCAGUCCCAGCUUCUUGGGAAGCUGAGGCCAGCUAAGUUCAAGGAGGAUCGCUUGAGCAGGAGUUCCAGGCUGCAGCGCGCUAUGAUCACACCUGCAAACAGCCAUUGCACUCCAGCCUGGGCAACAUAGCGUGACUGCGUCUCUAAAAAACAACACAAAACAAAAAACACUGCAGAACUUAAGCAUUUUGCUGCACUGCCCAGUCAAAUCCAUUCCAUUUGACAAAUACUGCCCUCUUAACAUUCUUAGAAUUCUUUCUGGAGCAAGUGUUAGUGUCCCUGCUUUCAAGGAGGUGGUCAAGUAUGCACAGACAUCAGUAGUGACGUUUGCUGGAGACUUCCUUUAGACAAAAAUGAACUUAGGGACAGCACUUAAGUUAGAGGCCAAGUCUUUGGCCAAAGUAGCCUGCCAUCCUACUCCAGAGAACUGCUGUGGUUAAAAGAGGAAAAACUGUAUUCUGUGAUCAAGUGAGGCUCUAAACCCAGUAUUAGGAAAGAACAGUAGCCUUUUGUAUUAGAAAGAACACUGGCAUGGAAGUCAAAAGUUCUGGAUUCUAGGGCCAGCUAGAAUCUACCACGAUUGUGGUAGGCAAGCUGCUCCAAAACCCAGUUUCUGGUAAAUGAGAAUGAUGAUUACUAACUCACCUCACUGACUGUUGGGAAAAGCUAAGCUAUCCUAAUGUACACAUUUUACCAGAUACUGCUUCAUUAUUAAUUAUUAAUGAUCUCAAAAUACCAGUUGUGGCCAAGCACAGUGGGUCACACCUGUAAUCCUAGCACGUUGGGAGGCUGAGGCGGUAGAAUCACUUGAGUCCAGGAGUUUGAGACCAGCCUGGGCAACAUAGGGAGGCCCCGUCUCUUAAAAAAAAUUAAAAAUUUAGCCGGGCAUGGUGGCACACACCUGUAAUUCCAGCUACUUGAGAGGCUGAGGUGGGAGGAUCACUGGAACCCAGAAGGUCAAGGCUGCAAUGAGCCAUCACUGUGCCUCUCUACUCCAGCCUGGGCAACACAGCAAGACCCUGUGUCAAAAACCAACACCAAAAAAGAACAUUAGUUGUUCCACAGGGCUGGUUCUUCGAUGCAUAGACACAAACUGCCAUUCUGUGAAGUGUUGCUUUAUAAUAUUGGGUUAAGGAUAAUCUUGUCAAAAUGCAGUACCCUGAAAACAACAUAUUAGGAGAGCCAGAAAUUUCCAGAGAAAGAAAGCACACCAAAGCUCUAGAGAAUUUUAAAAGUAAAAAACUUGUUUGGGGAGAAUAAAAACAAAAACAAAAAAAGCACUACUUAAAUCUUUAUACACAGAAACAGAAUAACCACCAGGGAAAACAAAGCAGCUAUGGCUUUAUUUCCCUCUACCUUCAUAACUUUGACAUUCUGCCUUACAGUCUAUUUUCACACAGUUUCUGUUGUUAAUGGGAGCUGAGGAACAAGGUACUGACACCUUCUUAUGGUUCAUCAAAAGAACCUUUGACUCUGAAAGGAUCUUGGAUAGGAUCAUCUCUCCAAACUUCCUGUUGAUGGAUCUUCUCACAUUCAGUUAGCUAGCCUCUUUUCUAACACUCUCUAUUAAAGUUAAGUCACUAGCCUGUAAUCCCAGCACUUUGGGAGGCCAAGGCCGGUGGAUCACCUGAGGUCAGGAGUUCCCCAGCCUGGCCAACACGGUGAAAUCCUGUCUCUAGUAAAAAUACAAAAAUUAGCCAGGUGUGGUGGUGCACACCUGUAAUCCCAGCUACUUGGGAGGCUGACGUGGGAGGAUCCCCUGAUCUGGGGAGGCAGAGGUGACAGUGAGCUGAGAUCACACCACUGCACUCCAGCCUGUGCGACAGAGUGAGACUCCGUCUCAAUAAAUAAAUAAAUAACUAGCCGGGUGUGGUGGCUCACGCCUGUAAUCUCAGCACUUUGGGAGGCCGAGGCAGGCGGAUCACUUGAGGUCAGGAGCUUGAAACCAGCCUGGCCAAUGUGGUGAGACCCUGUCUCUACUAAAAAUACAAAAAAUUAGCCAGGUGUGUUGGCGUGCUCCUGUAAUCCCAGCUACUUGGGAGGCUAAAGUGGGAGAAUCACUUGAACCCAGGAGGUGGAGGAUGCGGUGAGCCAAGAUAGCACCACUGCACUUCAGCCUGGACGACAAGAGC